rnacentral:siRNA from 1 species
UUGAUUAUGUGACUACAAUGCCA